AGUGAACGCUGGCGGUAGGCCUAACACAUGCAAGUCGAACGGCAGCACAGAGGAGCUUGCUCCUUGGGUGGCGAGUGGCGGACGGGUGAGGAAUACAUCGGAAUCUACUCUGUCGUGGGGGAUAACGUAGGGAAACUUACGCUAAUACCGCAUACGACCUACGGGUGAAAGCAGGGGACCUUCGGGCCUCGCGCGAUUGAAUGAGCCGAUGUCGGUUUAGCUAGUUGGCGGGGUAAAGGCCCACCAAGGCGACGAUCCGUAGCUGGUCUGAGAGGAUGAUCAGCCACACUGGAACUGAGACACAGUCCAGACUCCUACGGGAGGCAGCAGUGGGGAAUAUUGGACAAUGGGCGCAAGCCUGAUCCAGCCAUACCGCGUGGGUGAAGAAGGCCUUCGGGUUGUAAAGCCCUUUUGUUGGGAAAGAAAUCCAGCUGGCUAAUACCCGGUUGGGAUGACGGUACCCAAAGAAUAAGCACCGGCUAACUUCGUGCCAGCCGCCGCGGUAA
rnacentral:rRNA from 1 species